rnacentral:rRNA from 1 species
AUGGCCAAAACUAUGGACAUGAUUUCAUGGAGCCUUGUAUUUAGAGGAGGAGGAGGAGGAGCGCAGCAUCAGGAAUCCAAUCGGUGGGACGUGCCCACGUUCUCCACCUCGUGGGAUCGUCCAGCUGCCUUCUUCUUUUUCCUUAGACCAGCUAGAAGACAUACGAGAAAAGGUCUGCUUCCGUCUGUCCGUGGACGCAAUUCUUUAGAUAGGCAGGAGACGUUGGAGAAAAAGAUACUACUUCUCUCAUCCUUGUGGUGGGCUGGCUGCUUGGGCACGUCCACCUUGAUGGAGCCGGAUGAAGUGCAUAGGAUGGCUCUAUUGCAGCUAGCUAAGAGGCAACUUUUUGAACCAGAUACUAAUCUGCUGUACAAUCCUGUGAUAAGGGAACAACAGACACCCCAAGGAAAUCCUGAAUAUUCUAGGCAAGGGUGGACAUCAGGCCGCUCUUUCAUAGCUCAGUGCUAUUAUCCUGUCGCUCCUCAUCCUAGAGUCGAUACAGCUGUCACCCUGGGGACUCACAUGAUAUCCAAAGGAUUAGAUGGUGAUAUGUAUGAAGAAUUUAUACCCCCUACUCAUGAACUGGAUCCUUCUCUAUUGUUGUACCCCAACUUUUUGCCACAACUCCUUGACAUAUGGAACAAACUCUCCGAAAGCGGCAAUUCUCCAAGACGAGCGCCUCUACACUGCAGCCUAUAUUGCUAUUUGGCUCUGUCGCUUUGUUGUUCCAAGUGGAGGGCCAUAUAUUCGUCCCGGGGUAUUAGUGAUGGCCUCUUGGAUCACAAUAGGGCGUUGCAUAUCCUUAGCUCCGCCGGCCCUUUGCUCCUUAUACUAUUCGCUUCGGCUGAUCAGUACUCAUCCCAUUGGCCCCUCCUUUUUGAAAAGGGCAUGGCAAGUCCACUAUCUGAUCGGAUGGAUGGGUAUAUAGUUAAGGAAGAGGAUCCACGCCCCAUUCCAGACGAUUCUCGCGUCGGUGACUCAUCUGUGGCGUGGGCAAAUUGGCUACAUGAAUUUCUAAAGCCAUUCGCUGAUGUAUUUGACCAACUUCGCAAUGUAAGAAGGGUGGCUGAUGAGCACCGGGACCAGCAUAUUGGUGUCAUUGAACAGGAGGAAGCACGUGUUAAAGAUCACUGGAUGCCAAUCCUCCAUAGCUACUUACAAGACGUUGCUGCUACUCAACCCAUAAAAUCCAAAAAGCAAAGUGGCGUACCAAAGUCUGUUGUUACAGCUGGUUCUUCCUCUGCUCAUCGAGUGCUAGUGGGUAGUGAUGAUCCUCCAGAAACAGCCCCGGCCACCAGCGGACAGAAGCGUAGAAAUUUAUCGCCCACUCAUGCUGACGAGGAAGCGAGGCUCCCCCUCAAGCGCAAACUUGACUUUUCCCAUGAAUGUGAUUUUUCUGAACCAAUAACAUUGGAUGGUCCGUCAUUAGAUGUUGAACUUAGUAACUUGGUUAAUGGUGAAGAUUUUGGUCACGUUCUCACGGGAGAAAAGGACCAUGGCCUUGGUGACCUCUUCGAUUUAUCCGUCGAGGAUUAUACCGUUGGCGAGUGUGGCGCAAGUCGUCCACCUUCCAGCCCGGGGGAAGGCGCACAGAUGGACUGCAGCUUUGUCAAAGACACGUUUAUAGAUGCCACGGAUACCGUGGUGAAACGAGCCCUCGAAGGACUGAAUGACUCUACCAUUGGUGAUCCCAAGCGACGCAUCAUGCUUGAGAGCGUUUCUCAGACGCUGCCCACGCAAGUACCUGAGGUAGCUAAGGUGCAUGCCAUGUUGGUCCGGCUUAUUGACCUUUCCAAGAAAUUGGAGGUUGGUCAGACUAAGUUCACGAAGGGAUCCGAGGAAGAUGAACAUGCUGCUACUGAAGUCGAGCUUAAAAUUAAGUCCGGCCAUGAAGUUUCCAAGGCUGCAAUUGGGGACUUAUCUGACCUAGACAAGAAGUGUGCUGAAAUGGAGGUGCAGGAAGCAGCGCUUAAGGUGCAGCUUGAGGAGGCUACCGCUAGUUUGCAGAAGCUUAAACUAGAGAGGGAACAGCGCCGACAAGCACAUAAUGCCCAUCAAUCUGAACUGAAGAACUUGGUGAAGAGUCUACAGGACACCAUCGCCGGCAAGCGUACAAGGCUUGCUGAAUUUCAACAAAAGACGGCAAAAUUAAAGACUAAAGCAAGUCAGUUGUUGAACAGCCUGCAGAACUGGCGAGCUCCUUGA